AUUGAACGUUGGCGGCAUGCCUUACACAUGCAAGUCGAACGGUAACAGGUCUUCGGAUGCUGACGAGUGGCGAACGGGUGAGUAAUACAUCGGAACGUGCCUAGUAGUGGGGGAUAACUACUCGAAAGAGUGGCUAAUACCGCAUGAGAUCUACGGAUGAAAGCAGGGGAUCGCAAGACCUUGUGCUACUAGAGCGGCCGAUGGCAGAUUAGGUAGUUGGUGGGAUAAAAGCUUACCAAGCCGACGAUCUGUAGCUGGUCUGAGGGGACGAUCAGCCACACUGGGACUGAGACACGGCCCAGACUCCUACGGGAGGCAGCAGUGGGGAAUUUUGGACAAUGGGCGCAAGCCUGAUCCAGCAAUGCCGCGUGCAGGAUGAAGGCCUUCGGGUUGUAAACUGCUUUUGUACGGAACGAAAAGCCCUGGGUUAAUACCCUGGGGUCAUGACGGUACCGUAAGAAUAAGCACCGGCUAACUACGUGCCAGCAGCCGCGGUAACAC
rnacentral:rRNA from 1 species